rnacentral:lncRNA from 1 species
AAUUAAAUAAUUAUCAAAUAAUAUGCUAAAUUCAACAACUAUGUCUACGAAAGCUGCAGCUCUUAGGUGGUUAAAUACUGAAUCUGGAGUUAGGACCCAGGUUUAUAAAUCCUAGCUCCACGACCCACCAGCCUCAUGUUCACAGCUGUGAAAUGGGAGGAGCAGUGCCCGCAUCAAUAGGCUAAGGAUAAAGGGAGAUAAGUAGGCAAAAGCAUCGGGCCUGGUUACUGGGCACAUAACAUGGGCCCAAUUCAAGUUUGCAGGCUGUCUGGGCUGCAGAGUGCGGGAGCCCAGAGCCUUUGAUUUUGCCUGGGGCAGUUGGGCGGAUGAGGCGGAGGAAGGCCGCUGGCGCCGGAUUCAGAGACAGGGGCUCUAAGCUGCAUUUCUGGAAAGAAGUCUCUCCGUGGGGGGUCUGUGACCCUGUGCCGCUUCAGGCAAGGCAGCGUUCAGGGGUGAAGUGAGCUCGCAGGAACAGCGAUGAGAUCUGGGGUAAUGUGUCCCCAGCCUGCCUCUGAAGCUGCUGAGUCAGGCCGAGGCCCAAAGGGCUCUGUUUUGUUCCGAAGGCACUUGUGGCUGAAGGACAGGCCUGGACAGGGCCUGGGUGCUGGGACUUUGUGCCCAGUUAUUUCCUGGGAGCAGCUCAAAGCCCUGCCCCGCCAGGCCCCUCCCAUUCCCCCACCCCUGCAGAUAGGCCCCAGGGAGCCUCAGCCCAGCUUCCUAAAGUGAGUUCCAACCUGGAUUUACAGAGGGGAUGUUUCUGGCUUGGGGCUUUGUUCUAGAUGCAGCCCCCAAAGCAAAGAAUUCCUGCCUCAAGAGGCAGGUUUCAGCCCGGGGUGAAAUCCCAGUUCUUGGUCUGUAGCCUUGAACAAGUAGUCUCACUUCCUUAAGCCAAGCCCCUUCAUCUGUAAAAUGGAGAGAGCAGCACCAGCCUCCCGCGAUUGCUACCGGAAUGAAGUGAGAGAAGUUGCCUGGAAAUCAGCGCUUCUCAAAUGUUCGCAUCGCCCAGUGAUCUGCAGGAUGGAUUCUGACCCAGCAGGCCUGGGGUGGGGGCAGCGAGUCCGAAUUGCCAACAAGUCCGGAGCUGAGCUGACGUCUGCACCGUCCUGUCCUGUCACCACACACGGCGGUGCGUGGCUGCAGGCGCUUCUCCAACACGUCUCCCUAAGGGCUCCCUGCCCUGUUCUCAUAACCGGCCUGGCUGCCUCCAGCCCUCCCCACCUCAGUGCAGGCCGCUCACCGUUGCUGGACCAGUCUUACUGAAGUGGAGGAGAAAAUUUCUGCUGUAUAGCCAUGAUCAAUGGCAGGAGCAACUGCUUUCAUGGGAGAGGGGGAAGGAGGGCAUCUUUGUCUCAGGAGUGGAUGGGCUUUUGUCUAGCAAAACACGUCAGAGUCUGCCUGGGUGUGGGAGGUGAAUCACCCGGGGCUUGUUUAUAAGGAGACCUUAAGUGGUGUGAGGUAUAACAUGAAAGGGGGCUAUUCCAAAUCCUGACGCUUCUCCCUGUGGGCCAUGAUUGCUGUUAGGCUCUUUGCCGGUUUCUCGGUUAGGAAAAGGCUUAGCAGGUGCCUGGAAUCGCCGGCCGAUUGGCAGUGAGGAGCACCUCUCUGGGAAGGAGGCCCGGUGAAAGGCCCAGAGCCAAUCGUGUCUGCCCCCUCUCUGCUCAGCUCCAGUGUCCUGGGGGGAGAGGAGAAGGCUUGGUGUAGUCCCUCAGCCUUUUAGAAACAUGCUUAGGCAUUUGAACAGAUCAAGUCCUUCUUGAAAGAGCUGGCGGCCUUCUCCAUAAUGUGCUUCGAGAUACUCUGGAGAAAAGAGGAAAAUGGGCUGACGGGUGCUGGGGAAUACGGUGGGUGUCCCAGUUGAGUGGCUCCCAGCAUCACCAGGGGCUGGGCCCCACACAAACCUUCCCCUCAGCUGAGAGGACUUCCCUUGUUUUCUGACAGCCGUAGUGUCAGCCAAGGAGAAGCGCUGUGCUGUCUUCGCAUGGUCCUAAUGUCAAGAAAUAGAAAAUUAAGAUUUAAUAAACUGUACAAAACUGAAAGAGUCGCUGUGCA